CUGCCUCACGAGGAGCCUGCCUGUUACGCCAAUGCAGUAAGAAGCCAAGAUAACAAUGAUGCUAUUUUACCACCCUGCAUGGAUGAGAAUGAGCCAAGUGUCUCAGAUGACUCCAUCACCAUGGGCUACAGGCUGCAGGACCUCACUGUCAUCUAGGUCAUGGCUCUCAUGCAGGAGAAGAGUUUAAGACAGGACUAUUCCUCCAUCCCUGCUGCUGCCACACCAUUCAGGAGUGUUGGUACAGCCAUGCUGUCACCUUGUAAUUAUGGCUAGUGAUCUGGAGUUCGACAAGUAUAGUCUGGAGGACACAGUCGCAUACACACCUCCUCCCAGCCAGCUGCCCCACUACUGGCCCUCCCCAUUGGGCCAGUCAUCCAGAUCCAUAGCCCAGCCUGGUCACAGCAGCAAAGGCCUCCCAGACAGGCCAACACUCAAUCUAAGCUGCUUAAACUCGCAAGGAGCAUAGGUAAAAAGAGCACCUGAAUAGAAAAUCCAAUUUGCCACACAAAUUCACAUAUUGACUUUUACUUGAAAACAAAAACAAAUUGACACUACCAGUUUAACAUUAUCUGCUGUGUGUGUUUGACCAAUUGUAUAUGUGAAAUGGGAGUUGACCCAGAUGUAGGUUGUAGGAUGCUGAAAAGCAGCAUGCCCAACGUGAAUUUACCACCUACUUGCACCAGCCUCCACUCCCUCCAGGCAGUCAGGAACAGCCGCAUCCUGGAGGCUAAUGGCCAGCUCCCCACAAACCACCCCACAUCCCGCCUGACCCCUAUCGCAGGUUGAACCAGGUCUCCACCUGGUGGGUUAGUAUUUUAGUAGGGAGAGCAUAUACUAAACCAUAAUGUCUAUACACACCAUCAUGUACAUAUAUAUUUAUAUUCCGGACUAUGACAUUGUUUAUUCUGAUAUUUUGGGGAUUUGUGUGUAUUAAGUAUUACUGCACUGUUUGAGCUAGAAACUGAAGCAUUUCACUGCACCUGCGAUAACAUCUGCAAAAUAUGUGUACACAACCAAUAAAAUUUGAUUGUAUCUCAUCAAGUGUAUAGAAAUCCAUAGGAACUGAAUUUUGUACUUGGUUUUAUUUCAUACACAUGUGUAGGCCAUAAUAUUUCCAAACGUAUUAUUACCUCCUACAGUAGGUGCGUCUUCAGUCAAGCUUAGGAGUGGUGGGCAAUCUUCAUUUGUCCCUGCCAAAACCUUGAGCUCCAGUGACCCUGCGACUGGAGCAGUACGCCAGUCCCUGAGAGAAUCAUUUCAGGCCUCUUCCAUCAGAGGGCUGCAGAGACCCCAGUCCAUUAGCCCCGCUGGUUUGAGGAACCCCUGUCCCAGUAAGGCCCUCUCAGUUGGAGAGUACCUGUCAAGUCAUGGUCAUGUCUAUGCCUCCCCUGAGAGAUCCACUACCCUGAUUUGGGACAGAAUGGGGCAGCCUGCCAAUGCACAUAGGCAAAACGGUAUACUCAACAUUCCUUAGUAAUCUGUAAGAAACUCUCACCUCAAAUAUUUUCACUUCAUGUAUUAAAGUACAUUAAACAGUA